rnacentral:sRNA from 1 species
GCUGGGCACAGUGAUGCAUGCCUGUAAUCCCAGCAGCUCAGGAGGCUGAGGCUGGAGGAUCACAGGUUCAAAGCCAGCCUCCA